GGAGUUAGCCGGUGCUUCUUCUGUGAGUGAUGUCCUUCCUGCCGGCUAUUAACCCGCAGGCCUUCUUCCUCACUGAAAGUGCUUUACAACCCGAAGGCCUUCUUCACACACGCGGCAUGGCUGGAUCAGGGUUGCCCCCAUUGUCCAAUAUUCCCCACUGCUGCCUCCCGUAGGAGUCUGUGCCGUGUCUCAGUCCCAGUGUGGCUGAUCAUCCUCUCAGACCAGCUACGGAUCGUCGCCUUGGUGAGCCGUUACCUCACCAACCAGCUAAUCCGACAUAGGCUCAUCCGAUAGCGCGAGGCCCGAAGGUCCCCCGCUUUCCCCCGUAGGGCGUAUGCGGUAUUAGCCUGGGUUUCCCCAGGUUAUCCCCCACUACCGGGCAGAUUCCUAUGCAUUACUCACCCGUCCGCCGCUCGCCACCAGGGAGCAAGCUCCCCGUGCUGCCGCUCGACUUGCAUGUGUUAGGCCUGCCGCCAGCGUUCAAUCUGAGCCAGAAUCGAACCCUGA
rnacentral:rRNA from 1 species